UCUGAGACUGAGCAGUCUUGAAGGUUUCUGUGUGAUGUACUCUGAACUCUGCUACUGGGUACUGUGAGGGACGCUCUGAAGUCGCGACAUGGAUGCAGUGACCUACGAUGAAGUGCAUGUGAACUUCACUCAGGAAGAGUGGGCUUUGCUGGAUCAUUCCCAGAAAAGUCUCUACAGAGAUGUGAUGCUGGAGACUUACAAGAACCUGACUGCUAUAGGCUACAACUGGGACGACCAUAAUAUUGAAGAACAUUGUCAAAGUUCCAGAAGACAUGGAAGUGUUUGUGCUCUGGGAAGUCUUCAAAGAAAACUGAAAGAAAAAUUCUGGAAGAAUUCAAUUUUCUUUUAAGGCAAAACUGAUAUAUUUCUGGAUAACUUUCAGAGGAUAAGACAGCCUACAAGAACCCAGGUGAUAAAGUGAAGGUCACAAGAAAGGAAACAGGGCCCAAGGGACCUGCAUCAUCUUGCUGUGAGAAACUGAAGUGAAACCAGGCUGCAGACGCAGACAAUUUUGUUUCCAGAAAAAAACUGUUCAGAAAUCAGUACUGUGGCAAGAAGCUGAAAAGCAUGGCAUAUGGCUCCCCAAUCUUUCCACCCUGCGCAGUCACCUGGGCAGGCAAAGGCUAUAACUUUCCCUGGUCCCUUCCUGUUGCUUCCUGUUCACGACGAGGUGAGGGGAAGAGCUACAUACUCCCAUCACCAUGAUGUUCUUGCCCCAACACAUGUAGCUGAGCAACCAUCAACCAAAACCCUCUAAAACAGUGAGCCAAAAUAAAUAUUUCCUUCGUGACAUUAUUUCUACCAGGAACUAGUCAAAAUAACAGGAAACAUAUCUAAUACGAAUGGGUCAGUGUAUUCUUAUACUACCUCCACCAGGGUUGUUGUCACCUGGUCCUUGUUCCAGGCCAUACUAUUUUAAUUACCAUCAAGCCAGCAUCCCAUAGUGCAUCAUUAGGUAGGGAGCAGAGAGCAUUUCCAAAGAUAAUUAAUGGUUUUAGGAGAACCAAAGUGACAAAUGACAUUGAGGCACUCAGGGAAAAGUUUAUCCUGUUCAAUUCUCUUUCAAGUCUCAUACAGCAAGUCUCAACAGCAUGUUAGUAUGUCAUGAGCUCACCUCUGACACAUACUAAUCUCUACACACUAAGAGAGGUUCAUCCAAUUCAGAGCUUUACUUCCAGUUAGCUCAUUCAAUUAAAACAUGACU
rnacentral:lncRNA from 1 species